GACAGCCCUGUAAUCGAAAACCGAAGGAACCCUAGCGGGUACCCGAGUACCGCAGGACACGUGUAAUCCGGCGGGAAUCUGGGGGGACCAUCCUCCAAGGCUAAAUACUCGUAAUCGACCGAUAGUGAACCAGUACCGUGAGGGAAAGGCGAAAAGAACCCCGGGAGGGGAGUGAAAUAGAUCCUGAAACCGCAUGCAUACAAACAGUGGGAGCCUCAGCAAUGGGGUGACUGCGUACCUUUUGUAUAAUGGGUCAGCGACUUACGUUCAGUAGCGAGCUUAACCGAAUAGGGGAGGCGUAGCGAAAGCGAGUCUGAAUAGGGCGAUUCAGUUGCUGGGCGUAGACCCGAAACCAGAUGAUCUAUCCAUGGCCAGGAUGAAGGUGCCGUAACAGGUACUGGAGGUCCGAACCCACUAGUGUUGAAAAACUAGGGGAUGAGCUGUGGAUAGGGGUGAAAGGCUA
rnacentral:rRNA from 1 species